ensembl:lncRNA
GCAGUGAACAGCCUUGUGGAAAUGAUGCAGAAGCUGCAGCUGAAGGACUGAGAGGAGGAGCGUCAGCAGGCAGCGGCUGCAGUGCGCGGCGUUACAGGGCAGCGCUGCGAGUGCUGCCCACCUCAGAACUCCAACUUCAGAUGGAGUCAAUAAAUACCAGACACAAUGAGAGAUUCACACAGAGCGCACGGCCUCAUUUGUCCAGCGGCACUUGGAGAGCUGCUGCACCACCUCCUCGUUAUUGGUCUCGCGGCGCUCGCUCAGAACUCCCACAGCUCCGUCAGCGAAUGCUGCCAUCCAGUGAUGCAGCGGAGGCAGCAGUCCUUUGCACUGCCCACAAACAGACUGUCUGCAAAGCACGUGCAGAGAGCUGCGAGGAACAAAGCCUGGCCACGAGCGUGCUAACUUGGAGAGCAACGCUGUGCAGAUGGCUGAGUUUCCCAGGGCAGCACUGAGUGUUUUUGGCUUUGAUGACGAGUGCAUAAUGAGCAAAGUUCACCAAAAGGACGGCAUUUUCUCAGAAAGUGACAGGCUGUUGGUCCAGAGCAGCAUCUCUGCAGCUUAGGACCGCCAGGCUACCAUCCCGGCACUGUUCUGCUUACAGACAGCUGGGCUCACGUGGGGUUACGGAUCAGGGCUCCACCUUUGGGCCACAGGGAACCCCAAUCCCCUCCCAGGAAGAAAUCAACCAGUGCACUCCAACACCACCCCACAUCCUCCAUUCUAUCCACAAACAGCUCCCCACGUGCCCUCAUACCCCCUACGUCCCCAUGCCACCCCACGUCCCCGCACCCACAAGUCCCACCUGUACCUCACACCUUGCCUUCUCCUGCAAAGCACUCUGCUCCUGCAGGCUGUGGUCCAUAGCCCCAUAUCCUGCCCAAAUCCUCCUAUGUUCCUGGACCCACAGUGCCCCUCACAUCCCUUUCACCCACAGCUGUGCCCUGCACCUGCUCCAGCUCCGCAUUCCUCUCCUGCAGCAGCCACCCCUGCCCCAGCACCCUAUGGCUGUACAAGAGCUUGAUGGGGAUGGGGUUGAGGAGGGCACUCAGGUGGGCUAUGGGGUUCCUGGGAUGGUGACAGGGGUGCUGCUGUCAGGGACUGUGGGAAUCGGUGAGAUCCCGGGGUUGGGGUCUUGGAGGUGGGAAAGGAGGUCUGAAGGAGGAAAUAGAGGAAACACGGGGGUUCUGCAGGAGGCCAGUGGGGGACAUGGGGUGAUGCUGGGGACUGUGGGGCUCCGUGUGCGUAUGGGCCAUCUACGGGAGAGGCGUACCGGGUCUGAGGAGGUCCUAGAGGGUGUAUGGUGCUCUGUGGGGGGCUACAGGGCGUCUCUAGGGGUCUUGCUGGGGAAACACUGGGCUGGAUAUUGGGGCUUUGAGAGAAUGAUGGGUGGGCUGUCAUGGGAAAGGAAAGAGCAACCUUGGGGAAAGCAAGGGACAACCAGGAGGAUGGAAGGGAAUCCUACAGGAAUGCAAGGGGAAUCCAGGCUGAGGCACGGGGACAGCUAGGGGAGGAACAGGGGGACGUCCCAGCAACUGACUUCUUCUUUCACAGCCACAUCUUCUACUUCCCAACUCAGCUGCAAAGCUGCCAGACGAGCUGCAGUACCGCUGCCCGGCUCCUGCCUGGGUCAGAAAGAGCUGCACGUUAACGGGGUGCAAUUGACAUUCAAAAGCCAACUCCAUCACGGCAGUCACACAACCAUCCCCUUCAGUAUCUGUUACAGGCAGACGGCCAUGCCCUUGCACAGGAACCAUUCCUACGGAGCAAGGGAAGUCCUUCACUGCCUUAGGACGUGAGUAAUAGGGGAAGGGCCCCAAACCAUUCAGAACAUGCUUCAGAACAUGCUAUCGAGCCACCAACUUUGGCAGCUAAACACACCUUCUCCUUCCAGAAUUAGCAAGACCAAUUAAUGCACCCUGCUGCUGGAGAGGGCUGUGCUGCAUCUCCUGCUGCCACCCUUGGGCUGUCAUCGCACUCCCCACCCACAGCGCACUUUGAAGCGCCGCAGCCUUGCAAGAAAGAACAGAGAGCAAGGAGCUCUGCCGGGCAUUUCCUGUGACAACACAGAGAUGAGCCGUACAGCCCUUGCUCUCAGCACACACACCUCUUCUCUUACCAGCCAUUCAUUCCUGCACAGCGCUGCUCAAAGCCCUCCUCCACCUCUCCCUUCACAACGCCAUACGCAGCCUUUCCCCAGCGACGAGCUCUGGGCUCUUUCAUGCCUGGGCCAUCAUCGGGGCCUGCAGAACAAACCUGGCACUUCAGAGGUUUCAUUAGACAAGCGCUCUGCUCUGUCCAGCAAAAUUCACCAUCUUAAUUCAGCACUUUCAGUGAGCGACCUCUGGAAAUGUGUGUGACACAUCAGGAGAUGCUGAACCAAAACCUCCUGUAACCCCCCACAGUCCCACAGCCCCCAAGAGCCACCCCUACAGCCCCCCACGGCCCCACAUUACCCUACAGCCCCCUCAGCUCCCACAUCCCCACCACAUCUCCCCCACUGCCCCUACACCCACAGACCACCUCAGCCCCGGGGGGCACCGGGAG